rnacentral:lncRNA from 1 species
ACAUGUAAAUUGGCACUAUGUAUUCAAAACAACAACAACAAUAAAACUUUUGUAAGAAGUUGAAUGGGAGAAGUAUCUGUAAUGGUGUAACAUUCAUUUCUAGGGCAAUAUUGUGAGAAACACUCUGUAGCCAAUAACUUAGGCUCAGGCGAGGAUCUCAGUGAAGUAGUAAUUUAUUUGCGAUUGCAAUGGCGGGCGCCCCACAAACAGGAGAGAGCGCAUCUACUAGUUCCAAAACACAGUUUAUAUACCUUUUGAUGGCAGGACCCUCCCCUGUUUCCCCACUGAGUGAGUAAUCCGGGUUCACAAUCUAUCUGAUGCUUCACAAACAAUGCAUGGCCUUCAGUUGCCGGCCUGCUAAAUUUCAAAUUUCUUUUGACAUUUUUACUGCUUGAAGUGGUCAUGUUUCUUCACUUAUCUGACUUGACUUGACACCGUGAUUUUCACCUAAUUGUCCUAAGGAGUCUGGUUGUCUGCAUUUUACUAGGUUGCCUGCUAAACUUUCUUAUCACUGUAAGCAUAUCUCAGUACCACAUUCCCUCCUUCUAAACAAUGUAACUCUGCAAAAACAACAUUUCUAUUCCCACGAUGGGGAAACAAAGGGAAAGCUGCUUACCUCUGAGAAGUCGUCCUUGAUCUUUGUGCCAUGGACAUUUGUCUUGAAUGCUAGGCACUUGAGUUUAGGGGUCCCCGUCCGUUGAAGGCUUACCUCGGGGAAGUCCUACAUUACAAAUGUAGGACUUUUUUCUGCCAGCAGGCAGUGGCAGAAAAUCCUGAGAAACGGCAGACACAUCCUCCCAAACCAUUUUCUCAAUAAUGGAAGCAGUGCGAACCGUGCUGAAAACCACAAAACACACCCCACGUUGUCUCAGGUAGGAAAUGACUGCCCUGAGCAACAUGCCCUUCCCAGGGUGAUCCCAAUGUAUCCAAGGCCUUAGGGGGAAGGCAGAAAAGGAACCCAAGGCUCUUAGUAGGUCUCCUGAGAAUCGCAAUUUCCAUUUACUCUAUGUCUUCUGGUCUCACAGGAUGAGGCAGAGGUAUAAUUAAUUCCUUCUCCAUCUCUCUGCAAAGAGCAUUUCUCAUACCUGUGACAAAGGAGAA